CAGAGACUGCAAGCGUUAUUCGGAUUCACUGGCGUAAAGGGUGCGCAGGCGGCCGUGUGUGUGAGGCGUGAAAGCCCGGGGCUUAACCCCGGAAUUGCACCUCAAACUACAUGGCUAGAGCAUUGGAGAGGGUAGCAGAAUUCAUGGUGUAGCAGUGAAAUGCGUAGAUAUCAUGAGGAAUACCAGAGGCGAAGGCGGCUACCUGGACAAUUGCUGACGCUCAGGCACGAAAGCGUGGGGAGCAAAAGGGAUUAGAUACCCCUGUAGUCCACGCCCUAAACGGUGCACACUAGGUCUUGGCGGAUUCGACCCCCCCAGGGCCCCAGCUAACGCGUUAAGUGUGCCGCCUGAGGACUACGGCCGCAAGGCUA
rnacentral:rRNA from 1 species